GCGCGAGUGGCGGAAUUUGGUAGACGCGCCAGGUUGAGGGCCUGGUGAGGGCAACCUCUUAAGGGUUCAAGUCCCUUCUCGCGCACCA
rnacentral:tRNA from 1 species